rfam:Triticum aestivum genome assembly, contig: Triticum_aestivum_CS42_TGACv1_scaffold_049807_1BS
AAAGUACUCCCUCCAUCUGGAAUUACUUGUCGCAAAAAUGAAUAAAAAUGGAUGUAUCUAGAACUAAAAUAUGUCUAGAUACAUUUAUUCCUUCGACAAGUAUUUCCGGACGGAGGGAGUAGUAG